rnacentral:rRNA from 1 species
CCCUUAGAUGUUCUGGGCCGCACGCGCGCUACACUGAUGAAUGCAAAGAGCUCUACCCUUGACCGAAAGGCCCGGGUAAACUUGUGAAACUUCAUCGUGAUGGGGAUAGAUUAUUGCAAUUAUUAAUCUUCAACGAGGAAUUCCUAGUAAGCGCGAGUCAUCAGCUCGCGUUGAUUACGUCCCUGCCCUUUGUACACACCGCCCGUCGCUCCUACCGAUUGAAUGGUCCGGUGAAAUCUUCGGAUUGCUGACCAAGAUCCAGCAAUGGAGCUUGGUUGCGAGAAGUUGAUUAAACCUUAUUAUUUAGAGGAAGGAGAAGUCGUAACA